ACGGCUCAGUAACACGUAGUUAAUCUACCCUUAAGUCAAGAAUACCCUCGGGAAACUGAGGUUAAUACUUGAUAGAAGUUUCUCCCUGGAAAGAAGAUACUUUCAAAUUCGUGCUUAAGGAGGAGACUGCGGCUGAUUAGCUAGUUGGCGGGGUAAUAGCCCACCAAGGCAAUGAUCAGUAGGGGCUCUUAGCGGAGUCGCCCCGAGAGGAAAUCUGAGACACUAUUUCCAGCUCUACGGAGUGCAGCAGCUAUGAAUCUUCUGCAAUGCGCGCAAGCGUGACAGAGCGAGCCAAAGUGUUUAUCUUUUUGAUAAUCUUUUGUCAGCUGUAAAAAGGCUGAUGAAUAAGGACUGGGUAAGAUCGGUGCCAGCCGCCGCGGUAAUCCCGACAGUCCAAGUCGCAACCAACUUUAUUGGGUCUAAAACAUCCGUAGCUUGUUUGGUAAGUCUCUUGUGAAAUCUUGUCUCUUAAAGGCAAGGCACGCAAGAGGUACUACUAGACUAGAGACCGGUAGGUGUAAGAAGUACGUUCAAGGUAGCGGUAAAAUGCGUUAAUCUUGAAUGGACUAACAAUUAGCGAAGGCAUCUUACAAAGACGGAUCUGACAGUGAGGGAUGAAGGCCAAGGGCGCAAAAGGGAUUAGAUACCCCUGUAGUCUUGGCAGUAAACACUGCUCACUAAACAUCGGGGCCUCUUCGGGAGGUUUCGGUGCUGCAGCGAAGGCGAAGAGUGAGCUACCUGGGAAGUAUAGUCGCAAGAUCGAAACUUAAAGGAAUUGGCGGGGGAGCAC
rnacentral:rRNA from 1 species